GUGCACCUACGGGGCGCAGCAGUGAGGAAUAUUGCACAAUGGGGGAAACCCUGAUGCAGCAACGCCGCGUGAGUGAUGACGGCCUUCGGGUUGUAAAGCUCUGUCUUCAGGGACGAUAAUGACGGUACCUGAGGAGGAAGCCACGGCUAACUACGUGCCAGCAUCCGCGGUAAUACGUAGGUGGCGAGCGUUGUCCGGAUUUACCGGGCGUACAGGGAGCGUAGGCGGACUUUUAAGUGAGCUGUGAAUUACUCGGGCUCAACUUGAGCGCUGCAUUUCAAACUGGAAGUCUAGAGUGCAGGAGA
rnacentral:rRNA from 1 species